GCCUGGGUGGCUCAGUCGGUUGAGCGUCUGACUUCAGCUCGGGUCAUGAUCUCGCGGUCUGUGAGUUCGAGCCCCGCGUCGGGCU
rnacentral:tRNA from 1 species